rnacentral:rRNA from 1 species
UACGAGGGGGGCGAGCGUUGAUCGGAAUUAUUGGGCGUAAAGGGCGCGUAGGCGGUGCGGUAUGUCACCUGUGAAAUCUCCUGGCUCAACUGGGAGCUUGCAGGCGAAACUGCCGUGCUGGAGUGUGGGAGAGGUGCGUAGAAUUCCUGGUGUAGCGGUGAAAUGCGUAGAUAUCAGGAGGAACACCUGUGGCGAAAGCGGCGCACUGGACCACAACUGACGCUGAGGCGCGAAAGCUAGGGGAGCAAACAGG